rnacentral:rRNA from 1 species
GAUGAACGCUGGCGGCGUGCUUAACACAUGCAAGUCGAACGGAAAGGUCCCUUCGGGGAUACUCGAGUGGCGAACGGGUGAGUAACACGUGGGCAAUCUGCCCCAGACUUUGGGAUAACCCCGGGAAGCCGGGGCUAAUACCAAAUAUGACCACUUCAGGCAUCUGACGGUGGUGGAAAGUUUUUCGGUCUGGGAUGAGCCCGCGGCCUAUCAGCUUGUUGGUGGGGUAAUGGCCUACCAAGGCGACGACGGGUAGCCGGCCUGAGAGGGCGACCGGCCACACUGGAACUGAGACACGGUCCAGACUCCUACGGGAGGCAGCAGUGGGGAAUAUUGCGCAAUGGGCGAAAGCCUGACGUAGCGACGCCGCGUGAGGGAUGACGGCCUUCGGGUUGUAAGCCUCUUUCAGCAGGGACGAAGCGAAAGUGACUGUACCUGCAGAAGAAGCACCGGCUAACUACGUGCCAGCAGCCGCCGUAA